GAACAUGAGGGAGAUUACAUUAACAGGAAAUCCUUCCACAGCAUCAAUGUUCAGAUGAUCUGUGAUGCUGACUGCCUUGUGAGCAAUUUAGAGGCAAAGUGGCCUGGCUCAGUGCAUGACUCUAGAGUCUUUUGGGCUAGUCCAAUUUAUGAGAGACUUUCACAAGGUGAAUUCUCUGGUGUGCUGCUGGGAGAUAAAGGAUACGCCUGUGAGUCAUUCCUC